CACGUAGGAUCCGAGCGUUAUCCGAAUUUACUGGGCGUAAAGCGCGUGUAGGCGGUCAGGUAAGUUGGACGUGAAAGCUCCUGGCUCAACUGGGAGAGGUCGUUCAAAACUGCUGGACUAGAGGGCGACAGAGGGAGGUGGAAUUCCCGGUGUAGUGGUGAAAUGCGUAGAUAUCGGGAGGAACACCAGUGGCGAAGGCGGCCUCCUGGGUCGCACCUGACGCUCAGACGCGAAAGCUAGGGGAGCGAACGGGAUUAGAUACCCCGGUAGUCCUAGCUGUAAACGAUGUGGACUUGGCGUUGGUGGGGUUAAAUCCAUCAGUGCCGGAGCUAACGCGAUAAGUCCACCGCCUGGGGACUACGGUCGCAAGAUUAAAACUCAAAGGAAUUGGCGGGGGCCCGCACAAGCAGCGGAGCGUGUGGUUUAAUUCGAUGCUACACGAAGAACCUUACCCGGGUUUGACAUCCAGGUGGUAGGGAACCGAAAGGUAACCGACCCUUCGGGGAGCCUGGACAGGUGCUGCAUGGCUGUCGUCAGCUCGUGUCGUGAGAUGUCCGGUUAAGUCCGGUAACGAGCGCAACCCUUGCUGUAUGUUAUACGUGUCAUACAGGACUGCCGGUUUAGUGCCGGAGGAAGGCGGGGAUGACGUCAAGUCAGCAUGGCCUUUAUAUCCGGGGCUACACACACGCUACAAUGGCCAGUACAACAGGUUGCAAAACCGCGAGGUGGAGCCAAUCCCCAAAACUGGCCUCAGUUCAGAUUGCAGGCUGCAACUCGCCUGCAUGAAGUCGGAGUUGCUAGUAACCGCGCGUCAGCUAUAGUGCGGUGAAUACGUUCUCGGGCCU
rnacentral:rRNA from 1 species